GGUACACCGCGUGAACCGCGUGCGAAGCCGGCGACGGAACCCUAGGCGCUUAGUGGGCCAUUUUUGGUAAGCAGAACUGGCGCUGCGGGAUGAACCCGAACGCCGAGUUAAGGCGCCGAAAUCGACGCGUAUUCAGAGACCAUGAAAGGCGUUGGUUGCUGAUGACAGCAGGACGGUGGCCAUGGAAGUCGGAAUCCGCUAAGGAGUGUGUAACAACUCACCUGCCGAAGCAACUAGCUCUGAAAAUGGAUGGCGCUGGAGCGUCGUGCCUAUACUCGGCCGUCGACGGCAUAGUGGGGCCAGUCGUCGCUCGCGGCGGCCGGUCCCGGCAAGCCUCGACGAGUAGGAUGGCGCGGCGGUGUGCGUCGAAGGGCAGGUCGCGAGACCGCCUGGAGCCGCCGUCGGUGCAGAUCUUGGUGGUAGUAGCAAAUACUCGAGAGGGGCCCUCGGGGGCUGCCGUGGAGAAGGGUUUCUUGUGAACAGCCGUUGUCCAAGAGUCAGUCGAUCCUAAGCCCGGGGAGAGAUCCUCGUACCACGGGCGAAGGCGUUUUCGAAUCGCCCUUGGGGCGAGAGGGAAUCCGGUUCGUAUUCCGGAACCCGACGCGGAACCGCUCCCUAGUGUUCGGGGCUCUUUUGUCUCGUCUGGGUAACCAGAAUGAACUCGAAGAAGCCGCCGGGGGAUCUGGGUAGAGUUCUCUUUUCUCUGUGAGCGUUGUACGUCCCUGGAAUCCUCUAGCCGGGCGAUAGGGACGCGAGCGCGAAGAGCACCGCUCGUUGCGGCGGUGUCCGUGAUCCCCACGCGGACCUUGAAAAUUCGAGAGAGGGCCACGCGGAGUCUUCGUCGUCGGUUCGUACCGAUAUCCGCAGCAGGUCUCCGAGGUGAGCAGCCUCUAGCC
rnacentral:ncRNA from 1 species